AUUGAACGCUGGCGGCAUGCCUUACACAUGCAAGUCGAACGGCAGCACGGGGGCAACCCUGGUGGCGAGUGGCGAACGGGUGAGUAAUGCAUCGGAACGUGUCCUCUUGUGGGGGAUAACCAGUCGAAAGAUUGGCUAAUACCGCAUGAGAUCGCAAGAUGAAAGCGGGGGACCGCAAGGCCUCGCGCGAGAGGAGCGGCCGAUGCCGGAUUGGCUAGUUGGUGGGGUAAAAGCCUACCAAGGCGACAAUCCGUAGCUGGUCUGAGAGGACGACCAGCCACACUGGGACGGAGACACGGCCCAGACUCCUACGGGAGGCAGCAGUGGGGAAUUUUGGACAAUGGGCGCAAGCCUGAUCCAGCCAUGCCGCGUGUGUGAAGAAGGCCUUCGGGUUGUAAAGCACUUUCGGACGGAACGAAAUCGCGCGGGCGAACAUCCCGCGUGGAUGACGGUACCGUAAGAAGAAGCACCGGCUAACUACGUGCCAGCAGCCGCCGCAG
rnacentral:rRNA from 1 species